rnacentral:rRNA from 1 species
UACGGAGGAUCCAAGCGUUAUCCGGAUUUAUUGGGUUUAAAGGGUGCGUAGGCGGACCCUUAAGUCAGUGGUGAAAGUUUGCAGCUCAACUGUAAAAUUGCCAUUGAAACUGAGGGUCUUGAGUGUAAAUGAGGUAGGCGGAAUGUGUUGUGUAGCGGUGAAAUGCUUAGAUAUAACACAGAACACCAAUUGCGAAGGCAGCUUACUGGGAUACAACUGACGCUGAGGCACGAAAGCGUGGGGAU